rnacentral:rRNA from 1 species
UAAUCCGACCUAGGCUCAUCUCGGAGUGUGAGGCCUUACGGUCCCCCACUUUGGUCUUUCGACAUCAUGCGGUAUUAAUCCGGGUUUCCCCGGGCUAUCCCCCGCUCUAAGGUAGAUUCCUAUGUAUUGCUCGCCCGUCCGCCGCUCGCCGGCACCCUUGCGGGCCCGCUGCCGCUCGACUUGCAUGUGUUAGGCCUGCCGCCAGCGUUCAAUCUGAGCCAGGAUCAAACUCU